rnacentral:tRNA from 1 species
GGGUCAUUAGCUCAGUCGGUAGAGCAGUCGCCUCUUAAGCGAACGGUCGCAGGUUCGAUCCCUGCAUGACCCA